GACGAACGCUGGCGGCGUGCCUAAUACAUGCAAGUAGAACGCUGAAGCUUGGUGCUUGCACCGAGCGGAUGAGUUGCGAACGGGUGAGUAACGCGUAGGUAACCUGCCUGGUAGCGGGGGAUAACUAUUGGAAACGAUAGCUAAUACCGCAUAAGAGUAGAUGUUGCAUGACAUUUGCUUAAAAGGUGCAAUUGCAUCACUACCAGAUGGACCUGCGUUGUAUUAGCUAGUUGGUGAGGUAACGGCUCACCAAGGCAACGAUACAUAGCCGACCUGAGAGGGUGAUCGGCCACACUGGGACUGAGACACGGCCCAGACGCCUACGGGAGGCAGCAGUAGGGAAUCUUCGGCAAUGGACGGAAGUCUGACCGAGCAACGCCGCGUGAGUGAAGAAGGUUUUCGGAUCGUAAAGCUCGGUUGUAAGAGAAGAACGAGUGUGAGAGUGGAAAGUUCACACUGUGACGGUAUCUUACCAGAAAGGGACGGCUAACUACGUG
rnacentral:rRNA from 1 species